GGAAUCUUCCACAAUGGACGCAAGUCUGAUGGAGCAACGCCGCGUGAGUGAAGAAGGGUUUCGGCUCGUAAAGCUCUGUUGUUAAAGAAGAACGUGGGUAAGAGUAACUGUUUACCCAGUGACGGUAUUUAACCAGAAAGCCACGGCUAACUACGUGCCAC
rnacentral:rRNA from 1 species